CUCGUUAGUAAAUAACCCUAUCUAUAGUCAGAUUUGGAUUAUCCAUUAGGCAGCAUAGGCGCCCACCUAGGACUGGAUUCAGACAGGAGCUUGGAGCUCUGAUUCUAUCUUCCCAAGCCUGCAGGAAGAACAGAAGAUCUCCCUGCUCACAGCGGGAUUGUUGUAGUCUGCACAGAGCUAGUUCUGGAGUAUUGGAGUCUGUCACAUCAAUGGUGGCAUAGAAUUUAAAUGAGAGAAGAAA